rnacentral:rRNA from 1 species
AACGUAGGUACCGAGCGUUAUCCGGAUUUACUGGGCGUAAAGCGUGUUCAGGCGGCCUGGCAAGUCGGGCAUGAAAUCUCUCGGCUCAACCGGGAGAGGCUGUCCGAUACUGCUGGGCUUGAGGACGGUAGAGGGUGGUGGAAUUCCGCGUGUAGUGGUGAAAUGCGUAGAUAUGCGGAGGAACACCAGUGGCGAAGGCGGCCACCUGGACCGUCCCUGACGCUCAAACACGAAAGCAUGGGGAGCGAACGGG